CUCUUGGGUUGUAAACCUCUUUUGUCAGGGAAGAAGAUCUGACGGUACCUGACGAAUCAGCAUCGGCUAACUCCGUGCCAGCAGCCGCGGUAAUACGGAGGAUGCAAGCGUUAUCCGGAAUUAUUGGGCGUAAAGCGUCCGCAGGUGGUUCAUCAAGUCUGCUGUCAAAGCGUGGAGCUUAACUCCAUAUCGGCGGUGGAAACUGAUGAACUAGAGUUCGGUAGGGGUCACGGGAAUUCCCAGUGUAGCGGUGAAAUGCGUAGAUAUUGGGAAGAACACCAGCGGCGAAAGCGCGUGACUGGACCGGUACUGACACUCAUGGACGAAAGCUAGGGGAGCGAAAGGGAUUAGAUACCCCUGUAGUCCUAGCCGUAAACGAUGGGUACUAGGUGUUGCCCGUAUCGACCCGGGCAGUGCCGUAGCUAACGCGUUAAGUACCCCGCCUGGGGAGUACGCACGCAAGUGUGAAACUCAAAGGAAUUGACGGGGGCCCGCACAAGCGGUGGAGUAUGUGGUUUAAUUCGAUGCAACGCGAAGAACCUUACCAGGGUUUGACAUGUCGCGAAUCUCUUGGAAACGAGAGAGUGCCUUCGGGAGCGCGAACACAGGUGGUGCAUGGCUGUCGUCAGCUCGUGUCGUGAGAUGUUGGGUUAAGUCCCGCAACGAGCGCAACCCUCGUCGUUAGUUGCCAGCAUUUAGUUGGGCACUCUAGCGAGACUGCCGGUGACAAACCGGAGGAAGGUGGGGAUGACGUCAAGUCAGCAUGCCCCUUACAUCCUGGGCUACACACGUACUACAAUGCUGUGGACAAAGAGUUGCCAGCCCGCGAGGGUGAGCUAAUCUCGUAAACCACGGCUCAGUUCAGAUUGCAGGCUGCAACUCGCCUGCAUGAAGGAGGAAUCGCUAGUAAUCGCAGGUCAGCAUACUGCGGUGAAUACGUUCCCGGGCCUUGUACACACCGCCCGUCACACCAUGGGAGUUGGCCACGCCCGAAGUCGUUACUCCAACCGCUUGCGGAGGAGGACGCCGAAGGCAGGGCUGAUGACUGGGGUGAAGUCGUAACAAGGUAGCCGUACCGGAAGGUGUGGCUGGAUCACCUCCUUUU
rnacentral:rRNA from 1 species